UCCGGGAUCGUCCAAUAGCCAGGAUACGCGGCUUUGAACCGCUGAGAUGGGGGUGCAAGUCCCUCUCCCGGAG
rnacentral:tRNA from 1 species